UGUGCGCACGCGCAGUUGUCUUUUUAUCGUUAGUCCUACCCGCUUAUGCCGGCUCCCAGCGAAGCUGCACCGAAAAUGAACCGCAGUUACUACAGGUCACGGUCUCGGUCUCCGGUAGACUACGACAGGGACCGUGAUUCAAGCCGCAACCGCAGGAGGUCCGACUCGCGCCCCGACAGGCAGAGGUCUCGUGCACCCUCUGAUCGGCGUGUGUACGUUGCCAACGUGCCUUUUGAUUGCAAAUGGACUGACAUCAAGGACCUGUUCCGGGAUAAAGUUGGUGACGUGUCCUACGUAGAGCUGUUUGAAGAUGAGAAUGGCAAGUUCCGGGGAUGUGGGAUUGUGGAACUCAAGGACAAAGCGUCAGUGCCUAAGGCAAUCGAGGUGCUUCACAGAUACGAGAUGAAGGGCCGAUUCCUCGUUGUCAAGGAGGAUUUCGAUGUGGAACGUGACCGCUUUGGGCGCCCGAUUCCUCGAGGACGGUCCGGUGGCGAUCGCAUGAUGGAUGACCGUGGCCGUGAUGGCGAUCGAGACGGCUAUGGCCGUGGCGGUGGUGGUGGUGGCGGCGUAGGCUUCAACACAUAUGGAUUGAGUCCCCAGUUCCUCGACUCUCUCGGAAUUGUGGGACCCCUCUCAAACAGAGUGUUUGUGGCCAAUCUUGAUUAUAAGGUGACUGCGAAAAAGCUCCAGGAGGUGUUCAGGAUUGCAGGCCGUGUUUCAAACGUAGACCUCCGGACUGAUAAGGAAGGGAACAGCAAGGGCCACGGAAUUGUCGAGUUUGAGCACCCCAUUGAAGCUGUCCAAGCCAUCUCGAUGUUGAAUGGCCAGAAGUUGUACAACCGAGCAAUGAGUGUCCGCAUGGACAAGUACAAUGAAGAUCUCGACGGAGGAGGUCUCCCGUCAAAGCUUCCACCUGGCCUUCAGGGAAUAGGAAAGGGCCUUGGUGCUGGUGGAAACCCUCUUCAAAUGACUGCUGCCCAGCUGGCCCAGAUGAACAUGACUGGCCCAGUGGGUGGAAUGCCCAUGGGCGGUGGAGUGAACCCUGUGGCAGCAGCUGGCAUGGGGCUGGGUGGCCUGGGAGGCAUGGGCCUGGGUGCUGGUGGCCUGGGUGCAGCAGGAACCGGAGGCCUAGGUGCAGCAGGUGCAGGACUGGGUGGCAUGGGUUCGGCUGGAGGCUUGGGUGGGCUAUCGGACCGCUCUAUGUUGGGCACGGGCAACCUCAUGGGUGGUGCCAUGGCUUCACCCACAGGGCUAAUGGGUGGCCUAUCGGGGGGCUUGGGCGGAGGGUCCUCGGCCUUGGGUGCUGGCAACGGUGGCGGUCUGGACUACGACCGACAUCUUGGCGGUGGCGAUGGCUACCGAAGUCCCCGCUCUUCAGAUGCCAUCAUGGUGCAGAAUCUUCCCAUGGGCUACAGCUGGCAGAACCUGCGUGAUCGCUUCCGGGAAGCUGCUCCUCGCAGCAAGCAGCCCAGUUCGAGGUCCUCCUUUGGUUUUUGAUGCAGGGAGCGUGCGGUACACCGACAUGAAGGGACGUGGUACCGCAAUUGUGCGCUUCAACUCCGAGCGGGACGCCCAGCGGGCUGUUGACAUGAUGAAUGGCAUCCGCCUCGAGAAUCGUCAGAUUGAUGUGCGCCUCUACUGAGCACCGUGGGUCGUCAUGUCCUUUGUCAUCGUCAAUCCCUCUGGUCUCCCUUCUCUCUCUCUUUUCCAUGGGCUCCUCUCUUUCUCUUUUUUUUUUCCAUGUCCUCACUGUCGACAUUUGAUGUCUUCAUCCAAUGUACCGCCGUCAUCCAAGAGGAAAAAAAAAAGCCUCCCACCGCUCAUGGAUAGUUCCAUUUCCUCCGUUCCAAGCUGUCCAUCGAAGCAAGGUGGCUGGCUCCAAUUAACCUGAAGCGGCUGGCCACACGUGCAUUGUAUGGAGGGGGAAUGGUCCUGUCACUUUUUUUUUAGUACUCUCUCUUGCUUGUAUAGUCCAAGAACAUCAUUUUCAGUGCAGGAUGUGUAAAGAUACUGGUUUUAGAUUUGGUCAUGUUUUUGUGAGCAUCCUCACUUCGCAAGUAUUGAUUUGUCUAGCAUUGUGCUUGUUUAAAUUUGUUUUCUCUUUGCCAUUGGUCGCGGGCUCUGUUUUCGUUAUUUCAGUCGCCAUACCGAGACAGUCAACAAUUUGUGCAUUAGGCGUUUAAAUUGCACAAGCCUUUGUGACGUUGCAGCACCACAUCGUUCAUUUGAAUCAUCCAUAAUGUAACUUUUUUUUUUUUUUCCUUUUAUCUGAUGGGCAGAUGACAUGUGGGCAUUGUCAAUUUUUUUUUUUUACCGAUAUUCGGUUUCAAAUCACUGAGUAAAAUUGCCAUAACGGUCGCAUGGUGGCAAAAUGUCAAGUUUUUAUCCUUGUUCGUCAUUCUUUUUCUUCCUUUUGUUCAGCGUCCGAGCAGUGGCGUUGAUGGAUGCAUCCUCAUAUGUACAUUUGCACAUGCACCAGGCUGCAACUUCAGUCAGGAAAAGCCUUCAGUUCAUGCCACAGUUGAGUAGUCGCACGUAGCAAGUUGCCAUUUGUUUCUCGAUGAUGUGGGCUGCAGCGUGGGCUCAACAAGCUAUAACGAGGCAGGUGGUCACACUUGCCGCGAAACCACCCUUGUUGCUUCUAGAAUAAAGCUUCCUUUGUCUUCGUGUCCUACUA
rnacentral:misc_RNA from 1 species